rnacentral:rRNA from 1 species
GAUGAACGCUGGCGGCGUGCAUAACACAUUCAAGUCGAACGGAUGUAGCAAUACAUUAGUGGCGGACGGGUGAGUAACGCGUGAGUAACCUGCCUAUGUGAGAGGAAUAGCACAGGGAAACUUGUACUAAUACCACAUAACGUAUACCGAUCGCAUGAUUGGUAUACCAAAGAGCAAUCGCACAUAGAUGGACUCGCGUCUGAUUAGAUAGUUGGCAGGGUAACGGCCUACCAAGCCGACGAUCUUUAGCUGGUCUGAGAGGAUGAUCAGCCACACUGGGACUGAGACACGGCCCAG